AGUGAACGCUGGCGGUAGGCCUAACACAUGCAAGUCGAACGGCAGCACAGUAAGAGCUUGCUCUUACGGGUGGCGAGUGGCGGACGGGUGAGGAAUACAUCGGAAUCUACUUUUUCGUGGGGGAUAACGUAGGGAAACUUACGCUAAUACCGCAUACGACCUACGGUUGAAAGCAGGGGAUCUUCGGACCUUGCGCGAUUGAAUGAGCCGAUGUCGGAUUAGCUAGUUGGCGGGGUAAAGGCCCACCAAGGCGACGAUCCGUAGCUGGUCUGAGAGGAUGAUCAGCCACACUGGAACGGAGACACGGUCCAGACUCCUACGGGAGGCAGCAGUGGGGAAUAUUGGACAAUGGGCGCAAGCCUGAUCCAGCCAUACCGCGUGGGUGAAGAAGGCCUUCGGGCUGUAAAGCCCUUUUGUUGGGAAAGAACAGCAGCAGGUUAAUACCCCGCUGUUCUGACGGUACCCAAAGAAUAAGCACCGGCUAACUUCGUG
rnacentral:rRNA from 1 species